rnacentral:rRNA from 1 species
CCUACGGGAGGCAGCAGUGAGGAAUAUUGGUCAAUGGCCGGAAGGCUGAACCAGCCAAGCCGCGUGAAGGACGAAGGUGCCAAGCAUUGUAAACUUCUUUUGUCAAGGGACAAAAUCAGGCUCGAGAGCCUGACCGAGGGUACUUGAAGAAAAAGCAUCGGCUAACUCCGUGCCAGCAGCCGCGGUAAUACGGAGGAUGCGAGCUUUAUACGGCUUUAUUGGGGUUAAAGGGUGCGUAGGCGGACUGUUACGUCAGCGGUAAAAGCCCGGGGCGAAACCCCGGCGAGCCGUUGAAACUGGCUGUCUUGAGAUGUCGAGAGGUAUGCGGAAUGCGCAGUGUAGCGGUGAAAUGCUUAGAUAGUGCGCAGAACUCCGAUUGCGAAGGCAGCAUACCGGCGGCGAUCUGACGCUGAGGCACGAAAGCGUGGGUAUCAAACAGGAUUAGAUACCCUUGUAGUC